rnacentral:rRNA from 1 species
UACGGGGGGAGCAAGCGUUGUUCGGAUUUACUGGGCGUAAAGGGCGCGUAGGCGGCGUGACAAGUCACUUGUGAAAUCUCCGGGCUUAACUCGGAACGGUCAAGUGAUACUGUCGUGCUAGAGUACAGAAGGGGCAACUGGAAUUCUCGGUGUAGCGGUGAAAUGCGUAGAUAUCUGGAGGAACACCGGUGGCGAAGGCGGCAUCCUGGACCAACACUGACACUGAUGAGCGAAAGCCAGGGGAGCAAACGGG